GGGGCCGUUCCGGAUUCGACUGGAUGCGCUGCGUGUCAACUGCAUGUCGAGGAUGAUCGUUUGCCUCGUUAAUCAUCGGUCAAAACUAUAACUGCGAACGAAGAGUACGCACUCGCCGCUUAAUGGCGACGUCCUCUCUCUGACGAACACUAAGACAGAGGGCGCAAGCAGUGUUCUGGCACAAAGACUUUAUUCAUUGGUCUGCGUGUAAGAUUUUAAAUGGAGUAGUCUGAAAGCCGUCUGUCUGUUGACUAAGCCGGAAGACGAAAAAUUCUAAAAACAGAACAAGCAUGUAGUAUGUUGACAUUAGGUCAUCACAGGACGCGGGUUCAACUCCCGCCGGCUCCACCA
rnacentral:tmRNA from 1 species